rfam:Fibrobacter sp. TWH4 genome assembly, contig: Ga0136283_102
CGCGGGGUAGAGCAGUUGGUAGCUCGUCGGGCUCAUAACCCGGAGGUCGCAGGUCCAAGUCCUGCCCCCGCUA